AUCAGUGGCAUAAGAUUCUCAUAGGAGUGCAAACGCUAUUGUGAACUGUAUGUGAGGGAUGUGAGGGAUCUAGGUUGGACGCUCCUUAUGAGAAUCUAAUGCCUAAUGAUCCAUCAAUGUCUCCCAUAACCCCCAGAUGGGACCAUCUAGUUGCAGGAAACAAGCUCAGGGCUCCCACUGAUUCUAUGUUACGGUGAGUUGUAUAUGUCAUCAUAUAUUACAAUGUAAUAAUAAUACAAAUAAAAUGCACAAUAAACGGAAUGUACCUGAAUCAUCCUGAAACCGUCUCCCUCUCCACAGUCCGUGGAUACAUAAUCUUCCAUGAAACUGGUCCCUGGUGCCAAAAAGAUUGGGGACCACUGCUGUGAUGGUUAGUGUAUGUAUCAGCUUGACUGGUCUAAGGAAUGUCCAGUUAAAAUUAUUUCUUGGUGUGCUUGCAAGAGUUUUUGGAAAAGAUUAGCAUUUGAAUCAGUAGACUGAGUAAAGAAAAUGCCCCCGCCAAUGAGAGUGGGCAUCAUCUAACCUGCUGAGGGCCCAAAGAACAAAAAAGCAGAGGAAGGGUAAAUUACUCCUCUCUUCUUGAGCUGACACAUUCAUCUUCUCCUACCUACAGAUGUCAGAGGAUCUACCGUUUUCAGACUCCAGGACUUACAUUAGCACCCCAUACCAUAAUCCCAGCCCAGGUUCUUAGGGCUUAGACUUGGACUGAAUUACAUCACCAGCAUUCCUACUUUUGCUGCUUGCAAAUGGAUCAUGUGACACAUCUUGGCCUCCAUAAUUAUAUCUCCCACUAUUGUUGUAUAGCAGAGCAGUCAAUCAAAUGUCACCUCAGAGCCAUCUGCAAUCAAGCCUGGAAAAACUACCUGUACAGGUAUUAAGAGUCAAUCUGAGCAAAUAAACCAUUAAUUGAAUAAACGCCUUUGUAAACAGAAUAUAAUGAGGUGAUAUCGGCUGAUAACAUGAAAGAACUUACUUCCCCAAGGAAGUGAUACCUAGAUCUCAUUAACAAUUAAAAUGAAAGA
rnacentral:lncRNA from 1 species